UGGUUCAAGUCCCUCUAUCCCCAA
rnacentral:tRNA from 28 species